rnacentral:tRNA from 1 species
UGGCUCAGAGGUUAAAGUGUCUGCCUGCAAUGCAGGAGAUCUAAGUUCGAUCCUUGG